AUGGCCUUGGGAAAGAGAAAGAAAAGGAAGAAGACACACAUCUCAAAUUCAGCCUGAGGUCUGCAAAGUUUGACACUGUAGCUUCAUUUCCACAGCUAUGACUCAUGGGUUUACCUUCAGUGGCUACCACACUUUUCCUGUUUCUGUGACAAAUAACACAAAUUUAACUCUGAAGCUGCGAUUCUUUGCUUGAUGGUCCUAAUGAAGAGCUG
rnacentral:lncRNA from 1 species